rnacentral:rRNA from 1 species
UCCAGACUCCUACGGGAGGCAGCAGUGAGGAAUAUUGGUCAAUGGGCGGGAGCCUGAACCAGCCAAGUCGCGUGAGGGAAGACGGUCCUACGGAUUGUAAACCUCUUUUGCCGGGGAGCAACGGGGUCCUUGCGAGGGCCCGAUGAGAGUACCCGGAGAAAAAGCAUCGGCUAACUCCGUGCCAGCAGCCGCGGUAAUACGGAGGAUGCGAGCGUUAUCCGGAUUUAUUGGGUUUAAAGGGUGCGUAGGCGGGACCUUAAGUCAGCGGUAAAAUUGCGGUGCUCAACGCCGUAGAGCCGUUGAAACUGGGGCUCUUGAGUGAGCGAGAAGUAUGCGGAAUGCGUGGUGUAGCGGUGAAAUGCAUAGAUAUCACGCAGAACCCCGAUUGCGAAGGCAGCAUACCGGCGCUCAACUGACGCUGAGGCACGAAAGUGCGGGUAUCGAACAGGAUUAGAUACCCCGGUACC